rnacentral:piRNA from 1 species
CUAUGGAAGAGGUAGCACCCAGGA